rnacentral:misc_RNA from 1 species
AACGCAUAUUGCGCCCUCUGGUAUUCCGGGGGGCAUGCCUGUCCGAGCGUCAUUACAACCUUCAAGCACGGCUUGUGUGUUGAGCAUUUUGUUCCCAUUUUUGGUGAACAAGGCUCGAAAUGCAGUGGCGAUGCCUAAAUUGGUUGCCUGAACGUAUGGGGCUUUGUCAACGUUCUUGUGGCUCCAGUUUUGCAUUCCGUCUCAAAACUCCUUUUUAAAACCGAAUUGACCUCGGAUCAGGUAGGAAUACCCGCUGAACUUAA